UAUAGUAAUUUACUAUAUAAAGUCUUAGGGUAAUCAUCAAAAUAAGAUAUAAAGAUGAAGUUCACCUCGAUUCUACUCAUAGCUAACGCCUCAAUGUUGAGUUCGGCACAGGCUCGGGAUGCGGUCUAGGACUUACUACCCACGGAUGAAGAAAAUAGCGAACCCUGUGCAUGCUCAGGCACCAUGACCAUCUGGAGCUAUAUGAGGAAUAAGAAUGCAUGCACAUCCUGGGAAUAUGGCGGCUGCUCUCUUGAAGGCAAUAAGUUCGAAAACCAAGAUUGUUGUGAGAGAGCAUGUUUGUCGGGUUAAUUGGACUGAACCAUUAUGUAUUUAUAUUCAAAUAUAUUAUUCUACCGAAAAUUGGGUAUGAGAAAGUCAAAAGCCAA